GAAGCUGACCAGACAGUCGCCGCUUCGUCGUCGUCCUUUCGGGGAGACGGGCGGAGGGGAGGAAAGUCCGGGCUCCAUAGGGCAGGGUGCCAGGUAACGCCUGGGGGGGAAACCCACGACCAGUGCAACAGAGAGCAAACCGCCGAUGGCCCACGUAAGUGGGAUCAGGUAAGGGUGAAAGGGUGCGGUAAGAGCGCACCGCGCGGCUGGUAACAGUCCGUGGCACGGUAAACUCCACCCGGAGCAAGGCCAAAUAGGGGUUCAUAAGGUACGGCCCGUACUGAACCCGGGUAGGCUGCUUGAGCCAGUGAGCGAUUGCUGGCCUAGAUGAAUGACUGUCCACGACAGAACCCGGCUUAUCGGUCAGUUUCACCU
rnacentral:RNase_P_RNA from 208 species